rnacentral:rRNA from 1 species
UGAGGAAUAUUGGUCAAUGGGCGCAAGCCUGAACCAGCCAUCCCGCGUGCAGGAUGACGGCCCUAUGGGUUGUAAACUGCUUUUAUACAGGAAGAAAAAUCUCUACGUGUAGGGACUUGCCGGUACUGUAUGAAUAAGCAUCGGCUAACUCCGUGCCAGCAGCCGCGGUAAUACGGAGGAUGCAAGCGUUAUCCGGAUUCAUUGGGUUUAAAGGGUGCGUAGGCGGUUAUUUAAGUCAGUGGUGAAAUCCUGUCGCUCAACGAUAGAACUGCCAUUGAUACUGAAUAACUUGAGUACAGUUGAGGUAAGCGGAAUGUGUAGUGUAGCGGUGAAAUGCUUAGAUAUUACACAGAACACCGAUUGCGAAGGCAGCUUACUAAACUGCAACUGACGCUGAUGCACGAAAGCGUGGGGAUCGAACA